UGAAACAUAUCUAUCAGAACCAAUUAAAUGAGCUGGAAGUAAAGCAAGGGGAUCAAGGUGGAUUUUCUGGUGUACUUCUUCGAGUAUAUGAGCCUCACAAUGAGCUUGUUAACUGUAAUUAUUGCAGGACUUCACUAGUGGAUUUUCACAGAAGCUGCUCAAAUUGCUCUUACAAACUUUGCUUAGAUUGUUGCGGAAAGAUAGUAAAGGGAACUGCUUCUCAGACACCUGCAAUUGAUUCCUCCAAGGCUGGUAGGAGAC